rnacentral:rRNA from 1 species
UGGUGGAGUGAUUUGUCUGGUUAAUUCCGUUAACGAACGAGACCUCGACCUGCUAAAUAGUUUGGCGAAUUCCCUGUGGAUUCGCACGUAACUUCUUAGAGGGACUAUCGGUUCGCAGCCGGUGGAAGUUCGAGGCAAUAACA